GGUUGAGAUAGAAUAAAAAUAUGUUUGGAACAGAAAUUUUUGCAGAAUACUUUUCCCACUGAGUAAAAGAAUGUAGUCAGUUUCCAUGGCAGCAUUUAGAUUUUAAGACAGGUCUCUAUAAUCCCAGUGAAAAGGAUAUAACUUGUACUGGAAGCUAAGAGCUCAUCUGAUCUUCAACAUGGCUUUGCUAAAAUCAUAACGUGCUGAGGAAGGAUUCUCAGCAAAGGCAAAGGAGCACUCUGGGCUCCCAGAGAGGACCUGGUGUGCCAGCUCCAAAGGAGACUGCAGCUGCUCCCCUGCUAAGACCUACUGACAACCACAUGUCCAGUGGGAUGUGAAGUUCCAUGCCAUCUACUCUAAUAACAGAACCUCAACUCCUGCCUUGAUGCCUUGCAGCGCUGUCACCACCGUUUGUAUCUCCAAAGUCACAUCUGUGCCCUCACACAGUGUGCCUCUUCUGAAACCGAUUCUGAAAGUGAAUUUAGAAGACCUUUGAAAGAAUACUGGGAAAUUUUGGAGAGUCCUUUGAAGAAUUCCAUCCUAUUACUUUGCACAGUAGCUCACAUAAAAGAGGUCUGUGUAGUGCAUAAUAAGAGUCAGCUCUCCUAAAUGUCUCCUUACGAAAACAGUAGAUUUCAGUCUUUCUGUUUCAGACUGACCUUCCCCACACUCACUUUUUGAGGCUACUCGUAUAAAAGUUACACUUGAGGACACACAUUUCUGAAUUGUCCUUGAGGAGGAACACAGGACUCGCCUCUCAGGCUCCACCUGCCCUUGAAAGCCCUGCAUUACACGGCCUAUCCAUUCCAGCCUACCUUGGUUUUACAUGUCUUAUUUAGACCUUGGCAGAAGGCACUGACACCCUGGCAAUGAACUGGCAGGGAACAUCCAGCCCAGGGGGCUUGGGUACUUAUUUUAUGGUACUGGCUGAUGUCUGCGGUUCUGCAGGAGGGUAUUGGAGCUUCUCUUCACUGCCGCAUUGAGCUGCUCAGUCCAAAUUAAAACAACUGCUACUAUAGUCCACUUAAUUUUUCCUUAAAUUACUUUGAAGUUAAUCUAGUUUCAUGGACUUUCACUGACUUAUUAAAUUCCACCUGCAAAGAUAGAAAGUUCUCUAAAAAGAAUCUUUAUGAAGUGAAAAUUUGACACGAUGAAACAGCUCAGACAAUGUUAAGAAGUGGAACAGGACACAUGAAAGACUUGCAGUUCUGAGAGGCCUAAGAAUCCUCAGCAAGUCCAAGAAGUUGCUUACUGAAACUUUUCUUCUGUACCCAGUACGACAAGGUUUACAUCCUAAGUAUAAUUUCAUUGCAGCAAACAGACAGCCGUAAAAAUAAUAAUUUAAAGGAAGUACACUGAGUAAAAGGACCUGAGCUCUUUUAUUAGAAUUCUCCCAAAGAAAUAGGAUCAGGCUGUCAUGGAUGUUAUCCUGUGGAGCAUAACAACCAAGAUAAAACUAAUACAUGCCAAUUUCUAGAGCUGUUCAAAACAAGAUUUCUGCCGUAAUCUUGAAACAACUGUGGCUCAUUGUGUGUAUUUUCCCGUCCAAUUCCUUGCUUUCAGUAGAACACACCAAAAUUCGAGCUAUGUCUUUGGGUCUUGUACCUUAUUCAAAUCAAUGUGGCCCAAAUGUUAACCUAAUUAAUGGGAAUGUGUAGACAUAGAUCUCCCUUGUCGCUACAGUUUGUAGUGUACACCUGUAAACCAGGUAGAGGACUGUUAUCCUGCUAGCUAUCACACAUAAAAUGAGUGCCUACACGGGUGGACUGAGAAGUUCACAAGCCUCCAUUUUUCUAGUUCUUUUUCUGGUCACCUUCCUGGAUAUUUAUCUGCUUUUGAGAUCACAAAGUUGCUCUGUACUUCAGAAACCAAUGUUUCUGCAUGCAGUGCCUGGUACACAAUGUUCCUGUCCAGUCCAGGGUGUGCAGCCAAGGAACAACACAGGACAGUAAGCCUUAGUCUUGCCCGUCCCUUUUUCUCCCAUUUGCACCGCCUGAUAAGGGAUAAGAUGAAUUGCAUAAACUGCUUAGGAAACCAGCUUUGCUGCUAAUCCUUGGUGUGGGAUGUUGCCAGAUGGGUUGUCAGAAGACAGGGGACUUGCUGGUGGCAAGGAAAAGGGACACAGCUGUGGCAUCUGCUGCUGAGGGGGCAUUUGUUUCCCCCUUUAUGGAUUUCAUGGAGGGACAAUCAAAAAUCUCCCCAUGCAGGGCAGAGCAAUCACAGUGCAGAACCAUGCCUUCAUCAUGGAUAGCUCCAUUCCUGAGUUUCCCUGGGAAUACUUUUUGCUGAGUCUUGGGCACUUCAGUGCAAUGACUAAUGCACAUGUACAGCAAGAGUGGGAAUAUUGUCCCAGUGUGACUGAGGUAACAGCAGAGGGCACUCAGUGAUUCUUUAUGUUUAAUCUUUCAGUACACCCCACUCACCCGGACACUGCUGGGUAAUUGGAGUACUCAUGCUCCUGGGGUACAGGAUUUAUACAGGCAUAAAUCCUAGUUUAUUCCUGCACAUGUUGAGGUACAGUUUUUCAGUGGGGGGUUCAGAUCUUAUCAAGCAAUUUUCAUUGUCAGUAGAGGGGUAGUUAUGUGAAUGAGUCCCACAGCAUCUGAAAAAUGCUGUAGUUUCUGCCUCUAACCACUUCACAGUUUCCUGUUUAUUUUUUCCUGUGUUGUAUCCACGUCUGCUGAAAUGCAAAUCUGGCCAUUCAGUUAUUUGUGUUUAGCUGCAGGAUCCCCAGGUUAGUUCCCUGCUUGAAGCUUUACGUUAAUCCAUUUUCUGGUUGGAAAAGACGUGAAAUUUACUCAAGAAUGAAAUUGUAUUCCACAUCGUUACACUGUUCUCAUUAAAUCUAUUAUUUCCACUUCAUCGCCCAAGAAAAUACCCAAUGCGAGAAUCCUCCUAGAGUUCACUUCCCUAAUUCACAGGACAAUUACAAAAUUGUUUUUGCCACAGUGGGAAAUGUUGACUGCUGGGUCACUUUAAUUCUUGCAGUGCCAGCUAAUAAGAAAGAGCACUAUAUCUCCUUGUAGAACUAGAAUGAAGCAAAGUAGCCAGAGGAUAUGAAAGAUCUUUUGAAUUUGACUUCUUUCCCUUCAUUUUGUUUUGUAAUUCUUCUCUUAUUCUGUAAGAAAAAAAGUUUUCUGGGAAAAGUAAGUGAGAUUUACAUGUGGGUUGUUGGGUGGGCUUUUUUCCAAGACUGCUGUC